UAUUUUUUCCCCCUUGCUACUUCCUCGUCACAAGAAGAGCAGUGCUGGUAUCCCAGCUGCAAGCCUCUCGUUUAGGAUUCUUGCUGCAGCCAGCAGUGUCCUUGGAGUCUAGUUCAAAGCUGGAGAGAAUGCGCUAUGGAGCCGGGAGCCAUUGGUGGAGGGGCUGGCCUGAAGGAAGUGAAGUGUUUCAGCCAGAAUGUACUGACGCACGACCAGGAAACCACAAGACUGGUGAAAACCUCUCCAAGCUUGAGCCCUGUGAUCAAAAGAGAGUAACUGCCAGUUGCCAUGUAAUAAAUCACAUCAUCAUAUAGCAGAUCCAAUUAAUAGCUGAGACCUGCAAAAUAACUGAACCGUGUCGUCAGAGCUAAAUGGCGGAGAAAUUGGACUGACCGUGAACACGUCACAUUGAUUGCUUAGUAGUGGGGUAUUUUUCCUGGAAAGACAACAGAAUAAAUCUGAACUAUUGAUCCUGUCAUGGGUACAGGCUCCCUUGUAGAGGAAAAUAAAGCAAGUGUGAUGAAUUUUU